CAGUCGCCACGGUAAUACAGAGGGUGCGAGCGUUAAUCGGAUUUACUGGGCGUAAAGUGUGCGUAGGCGGCUUUUUAAGUCGGAUGUGAAAUCCCUGAGCUUAACUUAGGAAUUGCAUUCGAUACUGGGAAGCUAGAGUAUGGGAGAGGAUGGUAGAAUUCCAGGUGUAGCGGUGAAAUGCGUAGAGAUCUGGAGGAAUACCGAUGGCGAAGGCAGCCAUCUGGCCUAAUACUGACGCUGAGGUACGAAAGCAUGGGGAGCAAACAGGAUUAGAUACCCGUGUAGUCCCUGUCUCUUAUAC
rnacentral:rRNA from 1 species